rnacentral:tRNA from 1 species
GGGGCUGGGGCUCAGUGGUAGAGCACUCACCUAGUAUGUGUGAGGCCCUGGGUUCGAUGCUCAGCACCA